CCCGUACUGGUGAUAAUUGCGAUGGGGGGACGGAGAAGGCUAGGCUAUCCGGGCGACGGUUGUCCCGGUUUAAGGAUGUAGGCAGGUGAAUUAGGCAAAUCCGGUUCACUAUAUGCUGAGGUCCGACGACGAGUCACUACGGUGAUGAAGUAGCUCAUGCCCCGCUUCCAGGAAAAGCCUCUAAGCUCUAGAUUAUCAUUAAUCGUACCCCAAACCGACACAG
rnacentral:rRNA from 1 species